AUUGAACGCUGGCGGCAUGCCUUACACAUGCAAGUCGAACGGUAACAGGUUAAGCUGACGAGUGGCGAACGGGUGAGUAAUGUAUCGGAACGUGCCCAGUCGUGGGGGAUAACUGCUCGAAAGAGCAGCUAAUACCGCAUACGACCUGAGGGUGAAAGCGGGGGAUCGCAAGACCUCGCGCGAUUGGAGCGGCCGAUAUCAGAUUAGGUAGUUGGUGAGGUAAAGGCUCACCAAGCCGACGAUCUGUAGCUGGUCUGAGAGGACGACCAGCCACAGUGGGACUGAGACACGGCCCAGGCUCCUACGGGAGGCAGCAGUGGGGAAGUUUGGACAAUGGGCGCAAGCCUGAUCCAGCCAUGCCGCGUGCGGGAAGAAGGCCUUCGGGUUGUAAACCGCUUUUGUCAGGGAAGAAAAGGUUCUGGCUAAUACCUGGGACUCAUGACGGUACCUGAAGAAUAAGCACCGGCUAACUACGUGCCAGCCGCCGCCGUAA
rnacentral:rRNA from 1 species